rnacentral:rRNA from 1 species
UAGGGAAUAUUGCAAAAUGGGCGAAAGCCCGAUGCAGCAACGCCGCGUGGGCGAUGAAGGCCUUCGGGUCGUAAAGCCCUUUUUGAGGGGAUGAGGAAGGACAGUACCCUCAGAAUAAGCCUCGGCUAACUACGUGCCAGCAGCCGCGGUAAAACGUAGGAGGCGAGCGUUAUCCGGAUUUACUGGGCGUAAAGCGCGUGCAGGCGGAUUGGAGAGUUGGAUGUGAAAGCUCCCGGCUUAACUGGGAGAGGUCGUUCAAUACUUCCAGUCUUGAGUGCAGUAGAGGGAAGUGGAAUUCCGGGUGUAGUGGUGAAAUGCGUAGAUAUCUGGAAGAACACCCGUUGCGAAGGCGGUCUCUUGGUCCGACACUGACGCUGAGGCGCGAAAGCGUGGGGAGCAAACA